rnacentral:rRNA from 1 species
UAGUCCAUGCCGUAAAUGAUGUGUGCUAGAUGUCGGGCUCUUAGAGUUCGGUGUCGCAGCUAACGCACUAAGCACACCGCCUGGGGAGUACGGUCGCAAGAUUAAAACUCAAAGGAAUUGACGGGGACCCGCACAAGCGGUGGAGCAUGUGGUUUAAUUCGAAGCAACGCGCAGAACCUUACCAACCCUUGACAUCCUGUGCUAACCCGAGAGAUCGGGCGUUCCCUUCGGGGACGCAGUGACAGGUGCUGCACGGCUGUCGUCAGCUCGUGUCGUGAGAUGUUCGGUUAAGUCCGGCAACGAGCGCAACCCACAUCCUUAGUUGCCAGCAGGUUAAGCUGGGCACUCUAGGGAAACUGCCCGUGAUAAGCGGGAGGAAGGUGUGGAUGACGUCAAGUCCUCAUGGCCCUUACGGGUUGGGCUACACACGUGCUACAAUGGCAGUGACAAUGGGUUAAUCCCAAAAAACUGUCUCAGUUCGGAUUGGGGUCUGCAACUCGACCCCA